GACGAACGCUGGCGGCGUGCUUAACACAUGCAAGUCGAACGGAAAGGCCCUGCUUUUGUGGGGUGCUCGAGUGGCGAACGGGUGAGUAACACGUGAGUAACCUGCCCUUGACUUUGGGAUAACUUCAGGAAACUGGGGCUAAUACCGGAUAGGAGCUCUUGCUGCAUGGGGGGGGUUGGAGAGUUUCGGCGGUUGGGGAUGGACUCGCGGCUUCUGCGCUUGUUGGUGGGGUAGUGGCUUACCAAGGCUUCGACGGGUAGCCGGCCUGAGCGGGUGGUCGGCCACACUGGAACUGAGCCACGGUCCAGACUCCGACGGGAGGCAGCAGUAGGGAAUCUUCCGCAAUGGGCGAAAGCGUGCCGGAGCAACGCCGCGUGAGGGAUGAAGGUCCUCGGAUCGUAAAACUCUGUUAUUAGGGAAGAACAUAUGUGUAAGUAACUGUGAACAUCUUGACGGUACCUAAUCAGAAAGCCACGGCUAACUACGUG
rnacentral:rRNA from 1 species